AAGAGGGAAGUCGAGAUCUUGAAAAGUCUGGAGCAUGGAUAUAUUGUUACUUAUGCGGAUUUAUGUGAAGAUAAAGAAGCAGGACUCUUUUGUAUUGUGAUGGAGUAUUGUGCAGGAGGAAAUCUUUACCAGAGGAUGAAAGCACAGAAAGAGAGAGGGUUUUUUGAAGAACAGCAGAUUCUUGACUGGUUUGUUCAGAUUUGUCUGGCUCUGCAGUAUAUUCAUGAGAGGAAUAUUCUUCACAGAGAUAUAAAACCACAGAAUGUUUUUCUGACUGAGGAUGGUUACAUCAAUCUUGGAGAUUUUGGAUGCUCAAAAGCAUU